rnacentral:rRNA from 1 species
AGAGUUUGAUCAUGGCUCAGGAUGAACGCUAGCGGCAGGCUUAAUACAUGCAAGUCGUGGGGCAGCAGGGGUAGCAAUACCCGCUGGCGACCGGCAAACGGGUGAGGAACAUGUACGCAACCUUCCUUUAACUGGAGAAUAGCCCCUCGAAAGAGGGAUUAAUACUCCGUAACAUAAUGAAGUGACAUCACUUUAUUAUUAUAGCUCCGGCGGUUAAAGAUGGGCGUGCACCUGAUUAGAUAGUUGGCGGGGUAACGGCCCACCAAGUCUGCGAUCAGCAACUGGUGUGAGAGCACGACCAGUCACACGGGCACUGAGACACGGGUCCGACUCCUACGGGAGGCAGCAGUAAGGAAUAUUGGUCAAUGGACGCAAGUCUGAACCAGCCAUGCCGCGUGGAGGAUUAAGGCCCUCUGGGUUGUAAACUCCUUUUAUCUGGGAAGAAAUGUACUUUUUCUUGAGUACUUGACGGUACCAGAGGAAUAAGCACCGGCUAACUCCGUGCCAGCAGCCGCGGUAAUAC